rnacentral:rRNA from 1 species
CAUUACCGAGAGUUGCAGGCUUUUGUCUGCCAUCUCUUACCCAUGUCUUUUGCGUACUACACGUUUCCUCGGCAGGUCCGCCUGCCGUUAGGACCCCAUUAAACCAUUUGCAGUUGCAGUCAGCGUCUGAAAAACUUAAUAAUUACAACUUUUAACAACGGAUCUCUUGGUUCUGGCAUCGAUGAAGAACGCAGCGAAAUGCGAUAAGUAGUGUGAAUUGCAGAAUUCAGUGAAUCAUCGAAUCUUUGAACGCACAUUGCGCCCUAUGGUAUUCCAUAGGGCAUGCCUGUUCGAGCGUCAUUUGUACCUUCAAGCUCUGCUUGGUGUUGGGUGUUUGUCCCGCCUUUGUGCGCGGACUCGCCUUAAAGCAAUUGGCAGCCGACGUCUAGGUUUCGGAGCGCAGCACGAAUCGCGCUCUGUGUCCUGGUACGGCGGCGUCCAUCAAGACUAUUUUACACUCUUGACCUCGGAUCAGGUAGGGAUACCCGCUGAACUUAAGCAUAUCAAUAA